UAUUGAUUGUCGAUGUCAUAACUACCUGUCCUUGUCGCUGUCGUCAUAGCGGACGGGGCUCUACAGGGAUCAUACAUCUUUAAAGGCCUGGAAACCGAAUCUGUCAUGUGCCGACAAUGGUUGCCAGUUCCAUUGGCAGGUGCAGUCCAGGGGCUCCUGAAAGUAGUACUGCACACUGGUGCCGUUGCGUGUGCAGUACAGCGAGACCGAGCGGGACUGCAGUCCGCUUUCGCGGCAGCACUUGCAGAACCUGGCGUGACUGUUGAUGUUGAAGUUGAAGAUGGUGGCGGACGGACAUUUGCCAUCACAGGAGAAGACGGUCACCUGUAACAAGUCAUCCUUGCGUAUGGUAGUCCGGAUGGCCACUCGCUUGCAUGUCUUACCGUCUUCUUUACCUGUACUCACGUUCGCAGAAGACCAAAAUGUGGAUGAAUAAACAUACAUACAGUAUAAUUACCAACAUCCAAUAAAUCCAAUGCAAGGACUAAAUCAAAAAGUGUGCCUUUACGAAGAAACCAUGGAUCUAGACAACAACUUAGUAACCUUCUGGGCAACUUUGUGAUUUUCUUAAAGGUGCUAUUUUAUUAAUAAACACAUGUACGAUAGUAUAAAUGACAUUUAGUUAAUGUUUUCAUCUAUAUCAGGGGUGUCCAAAGUGUUGCAGCUCGUAGAUAAUUAUUUAAUAGGCCGCGGCACAGUUGCAUGCUAUCUUUUUUUCUGAUUUUGCAGGUAUACACAUCAGCGUCAAAUAUUUUGUUACUUCACAAAUGCUACCUAAUGCUAGCAUUAGUAAGCUAGCUUUUUUGGACAUUUCAUUGGUAUACACCAGUGUCAUAUUUUGCUACUUAAUGAAUGCUAACAUUAGCAUGCUAGCAUUUUUGACAAAUUUGUCAGGUAAACAUCGUAGAGUAAUAUAUUUUGGUACUAGACGCAUGCUGCAUGUAAUAUUUUAGCAUGCUAGCUUUUUUUUAAGAUAAUUUACCUCAUUGUCAUGUAGACUACAUUUACACCGAUGAAGUGAAAACAAAGGAAGGUGAACGAAUUCUUUAAAUGAACAAUGAACUCGCUACUACUAAAAAAUAAAAUAAAAGUCGCCACCAUAAACAUGGUCACCCACUUUAAAAGUGAGUGUUUUUUGGAUGUUGUGAUGAAGUAUCCACUUCCCCUGGCGGGCAGCCUCUUUUUCCGCGCACACAAAUGACUUGGCUCGACCAAAGAUGCGAAAAAGUCACAUACUGGUCGCAUUACCUUUUUAGAUUGGAAUCUGUUCUUUUCAAAUGUGACUUCAAUCAGAUUUGGACUACCUCCUGACAUGGCCUGAAUCUGAUGCAAAAAGAUCAGAUUUUAAGCAUGUUAGAGCGUUUAGACUGGCAAAAAAAAUCAGAUCUGUGUCACUUGAGGGCAAAAAAAAAUCAGAUUUGGUGUGCAGUGUAAACGGGGCCUUAUUUUUUGUAUUUUACUAUUGCUCACUGUAGGCAUGCUAUUGUUAGCAAAAUACUGUUAGCAUGCUAGCUUUUUUUGUUUUAUUAGCUCAUUUGCUAAUUUUUUUGUUACUUGGCGCCAUCUGGCCAGUGUGCUAACUGUUAGCAUUUCAAUUCGGCUUUGACUGGUCAGCAUUCACACAAAAUGUAUACUGAAAUUGCAUUUUCUAGUUCUUUGAAAAAAAAUCAAAAUAUUGUAUUGAUUUUGAAGGUGAAAACUACCAAAAUGGCCCCCGCUUUUUAUUUUAUUUGUGAGCUGCAGCCCUAAGUGGAAAUGGUAGGGCACCCCUGAUCUUUAUGAACAUUAUUGCUUCGAGUUAAUAAAA